CAAGACCUAUAAGGAAAGGAGACGAUCCGCAAGGAGUUUCUGUGUAGAGAUGAGCCUGCGUCCCAUUAGCUAGUUGGCAGGGUAAGAGCCUACCAAGGCGACGAUGGGUAGCGGGUCUGAGAGGAUGAUCCGCCACACUGGAACUGAAACACGGACCAGACUCCUACGGGAGGCAGCAGUGAGGAAUAUUGGACAAUGGGCGCAAGCCUGAUCCAGCGACGCCGCGUGAGUGAUGAAGGCCUUUGGGUCGUAAAGCUCUGUCAGCAGGGAAGAACGGCCGUGUGGUUAAUACCCAUGCGGAUUGACGGUACCUGCAGAGGAAGCACCGGCUAACUCCGUGCCAGCAACCGCGGUAAUACGGAGGGUGCGAGCGUUAAUCGGAAUUACUGGGCGUAAAGGGCGCGUGGGCGGCUGAUCAAGUCAGGUGUGAAAGCCCACGGCUUAACCGUGUGAAGUGCAUCUGAAACUGGUCGGCUUGAGUAUCGGAGAGGAAAGUGGAAUUCCCGGUGUAGAGGUGAAAUUCGUAGAUAUCGGGAGGAAUACCGGUGGCGAAGGCGACUUUCUGGACGAAUACUGACGCUGAGGCGCGAAAGCGUGGGGAGCAAACAGGAUUAG
rnacentral:rRNA from 1 species